rnacentral:rRNA from 1 species
CUACGGGAGGCAGCAGUGGUGAAUAUUGCACAAUGGGCGCAAGCCUGAUGCAGCCAUGCCGCGUGUAUGAAGAAGGUCUUCGGGUUGUAAAGUACUUUCAGCGGGGGGGAAGGGAGUAAAGUUAAUACCUUUGCUCAUUGACGUUACCCGCAGAAGAAGCACCGGCUAACUCCGUGCCAGCAGCCGCGGUAAUACGGAGGGUGCAAGCGUUAAUCGGAAUUACUGGGCGUAAAGCGCACGCAGGCGGUUUGUUAAGUCAGAUGUGAAAUCCCCGGGCUCAACCUGGGAACUGCAUCUGAUACUGGCAAGCUUGAGUCUCGUAGAGGGGGGUAGAAUUCCAGGUGUAGCGGUGAAAUGCGUAGAGAUCUGGAGGAAUACCGGUGGCGAAGGCGGCCCCCUGGACGAAGACUGACGCUCAGGUGCGAAAGCGUGGGGAGCAAACAGGAUUAGAUACCCCAGUAGUC